ensembl:ncRNA Y59A8B.27 ncRNA
GUAGUUUGUAGUCUUGCAGACCGAAAAUUGGAUACUUUGGUCUGCUAGACUACAAACUACAAAAU